GCAUGGCUGAAUACUGUGUUCUUUUUAUCAAUAUUUUACACAGCCAGACACCAUGCAAAAGUAAAGUUUUCCCUUUAAAUGGCUUUGAUGGUAUGCUGCUUCUUCAUCGCAUAUCAUUAUUAAAAGUGACUACAAAU